UACGGAGGAUCCAAGCGUUAUCCGGAAUCAUUGGGUUUAAAGGGUCCGUAGGCGGUUUAAUAAGUCAGUGGUGAAAGCCCAUCGCUCAACGGUGGAACGGCCAUUGAUACUGUUAAACUUGAAUUAUUAGGAAGUAACUAGAAUAUGUAGUGUAGCGGUGAAAUGCUUAGAGAUUACAUGGAAUACCAAUUGCGAAGGCAGGUUACUACUAAUGGAUUGACGCUGAUGGACGAAGGUCAGGGGAGCAAACGGG
rnacentral:rRNA from 1 species